GACGAACGCUGGCUGCGUGCUUAACACAUGCAAGUCGAACGCUGAAACCCUGGUGCUUGCACCGGGGUGGAUGAGUGGCGAACGGGUGAGUAACACGUGAGUAACCUGCCCCCGACUUCGGGAUAAGCCCGGGAAACUGGGUCUAAUACCGGAUAUGAGCGCCCCUCGCAUGAGGGAUGCUGGAAAGUCUUUUCGGUUGGGGAUGGGCUCGCGGCCUAUCAGUUUGUUGGUGAGGUAAUGGCUCACCAAGAAGACGACGGGUAGCCGGCCUGAGGGGGCGCCCGGCCACACGGGGACUGAGACACGGCCCAGACUCCUACGGGAGGCAGCAGUGGGGAAUAUUGCAAAAUGGGGGAAACCCUGAUGCAGCGACGCAGCGUGCGGGAUGACGGCCUUCGGGUUGUAAACCGCUUUCAGCAGGGAAGAAGCCCCUUGGGGUGACGGUACCUGCAGAAGAAGUACCGGCUAACUACGUGCCAGCCGCCGCCGUAA
rnacentral:rRNA from 1 species